CGACCGUAAAACAACGGGAAGAAGCCGCGCAAGACUUUGCAAGUGAAAAAAGCAGAUUGGAAGCCACUGUCCAGCAGCCAAGCGAUAGCGCUGAAGCCCUUCCGAGAGCCCUGCAAGCCUCUGCCUCAGGUGGUGAACUUUCCCAGCAGCUGGACAUGGAGCCUAGAACAGGCAUGCAGCUCGAGGCUCAAAAGCAGGCUUUGCAAGAAGAGCUGUCCAGUCUGCGUGGGAAAUGUGAGAACCUGGAGAAGAGCAAAUGGCAGCUGCAAGAAGAGGUGGCAAAACUCCACCAUCAUUUGGAGACUUUGGUGCUGGAUGGCAGCCAAAGAGAAGGAUGUAAAAGAGAAGUGGAAGAAGGAGCUGACCAGGAAAGAAGUCCAAAGCUACAAGAGGUCAGCCUUGUUU